UACGAAGGGGGCUAGCGUUGCUCGGAAUCACUGGGCGUAAAGCGCACGUAGGCGGGUUCUUAAGUCAGGGGUGAAAUCCUGGAGCUCAACUCCAGAACUGCCUUCGAUACUGGGAAUCUCGAGUCCGGGAGAGGUGAGUGGAACUGCGAGUGUAGAGGUGAAAUUCGUAGAUAUUCGCAAGAACACCAGUGGCGAAGGCGGCGCACUGGCCCGGUAUUGACGCUGAGAUGCGAAAGCGUGGGGAGCAAACAGG
rnacentral:rRNA from 1 species